AGCAGUAGCCGCGGUAACACGUAGGUGGCAAGCGUUGUCCGGAAUUAUUGGGCGUAAAGCGCGCGCAGGUGGUUUAAUAAGUCUGAUGUGAAAGCCCACGGCUCAACCGUGGAGGGUCAUUGGAAACUGUUAAACUUGAGUGCAGGAGAGAAAAGUGGAAUUCCUAGUGUAGCGGUGAAAUGCGUAGAGAUUAGGAGGAACACCAGUGGCGAAGGCGGCUUUUUGGCCUGUAACUGACACUGAGGCGCGAAAGCGUGGGGAGCAAACAGGAUUAGAUACCCGGGUAGUCCCUGUCUCUUAUAC
rnacentral:rRNA from 1 species